GACGAACGCUGGCGGCGUGCUUAACACAUGCAAGUCGAACGGAAAGGCCCUGCUUUUGUGGGGUGCUCGAGUGGCGAACGGGUGAGUAACCCGUGAGUAACCUGCCCUUGACUUUGGGAUAACUUCAGGAAACUGGGGCUAAUACCGGAUAGGAGCUCCUGCUGCAUGGUGGGGGUUGGAAAGUUUCGGCGGUUGGGGAUGGACUCGCGGCUUAUCAGCUUGUUGGUGGGGUAGUGGCUUACCAAGGCUUUGACGGGUAGCCGGCCUGAGAGGGUGACCGGCUACAUUGGGACUGAGAUACGGCCCAGACUCCUACGGGAGGCAGCAGUGGGGAAUAUUGCACAAUGGGCGGAAGCCUGAUGCAGCAACGCCGCGUGCGGGAUGACGGCCUUCGGGUUGUAAACCGCUUUCGCCUGUGACGAAGCGUGAGUGACGGUAAUGGGUAAAGAAGCACCGGCUAACUACGUG
rnacentral:rRNA from 1 species